GGGGGCCCGCAAGCGGUGGAGUAUGUGGUUUAAUUCGAAGCAACGCGCAGAACCUUACCUGGUCUUGACAUCGCGUGACAACUACAGAGAUGUAGCUUUCCCUUCGGGGACACGUAGACAGGUGCUGCAUGGCUGUCGUCAGCUCGUGUUGUGAAAUGUUCGGUUAAGUCCGGCAACGAGCGCAACCCCUGUCCUUAGUUACCACCAUUAAGUUGGGGACUCUAGGGAGACUGCCGGUGUUAAACCGGAGGAAGGCGGGGAUGACGUCAAGUCCUCAUGGCCCUUACGACCAGGGCUACACACGUACUACAAUGGUAGAAACAGUCCGUUGCGAAGCCGCGAGGUGGAGCUAAUCGGAAAAACACUAUCUCAGUCCGGAUUGAAGUCUGCAACUCGACUUCAUGAAGUUGGAAUCGCUAGUAAUCGGAGAUCAGCACGCUCCGGUGAAUACGUUCCCGGGCCUUGUACACACC
rnacentral:rRNA from 1 species